ensembl:lncRNA
GUGCAUGCUCGCGCCCUCUGGAGCUGCUCUUUGAGGCGUGAGAGCGACUGUCGGUUCUCCUGACCCUGCCCGCACCUGCUCAGCUGCUCUCGUGAUUGCUGGAAGCUCGUGGCAGCUCUCCCCUUGCGUUGGGACCCCGCCUCCCCUGCUAGGUGUGCGGCGCUGGAGCCGAUCGCCUCAAAGUGACCGUUGGAGACAGGACCGUUAGGCCGUUUAAACUUCCCGCCCUUGCGUCUGGCCGCCACCGCCUGGUCUCAGCGGCUCGCAGGGGGCUGGCGGGUCCUGGCUGCUCACCCUGGCGGCCCCUCGAUUCCAGGACUUCCCCACAUACGCUGCAGUUCUCCCCGCUGCUGCAGGACGUCUCUGCGCCGCAGCUGAUCGCCUCAGAGCGUCGAUGUUCUUCGCAGCAUUGUUCCCAUGCAUGUCCAGAGCUGCCUUCAUCUGGAUCAUUCAGAGCCUGUUUUCUACUUGAGUUUGGUCCAAGAACUAGACAGCGGAACAUUGAAAUGCAAGGUAUGUGCUCAAGGAGCGUAUAUAACACAUUUUUCUGAAGCUGAGA